rnacentral:rRNA from 1 species
AGAGUUUGAUCAUGGCUCAGAUUGAACGCUGGCGGCAGGCCUAACACAUGCAAGUCGAGCGGAAACGACACUAACAAUCCUUCGGGUGCGUUAAUGGGCGUCGAGCGGCGGACGGGUGAGUAAUGCCUAGGAAAUUGCCUUGAUGUGGGGGAUAACCAUUGGAAACGAUGGCUAAUACCGCAUAAUGCCUACGGGCCAAAGAGGGGGACCUUCGGGCCUCUCGCGUCAAGAUAUGCCUAGGUGGGAUUAGCUAGUUGGUGAGGUAAUGGCUCACCAAGGCGACGAUCCCUAGCUGGUCUGAGAGGAUGAUCAGCCACACUGGAACUGAGACACGGUCCAGACUCCUACGGGAGGCAGCAGUGGGGAAUAUUGCACAAUGGGCGAAAGCCUGAUGCAGCCAUGCCGCGUGUAUGAAGAAGGCCUUCGGGUUGUAAAGUACUUUCAGUUGUGAGGAAGGGGGUAGUGUUAAUAGCGCUAUCUCUUGACGUUAGCAACAGAAGAAGCACCGGCUAACUCCGUGCCAGCAGCCGCGGUAAUAC